AAUGAAGUACAAAUAGACUUGCACGAAGAAAGCUCGUAAAAGCUGGGAACAAAGAAUCGAGCAUCGAACCCUCACCAGAAGUGUAUACACUCAAAUCACUCAAGUGUUUAAGGUUCGGUUCUCUCAAUUCUCUACUAAUCUUGCUUUCUAAGACUUUCUCUUCUUCUACCAAUCAACAAAAAUUUAAUGCACAAAUACACAUAUCAAGAGGUCGUUUCAAGGGUUGUAAUGGGGUUAGGGUCAAGGUAGGAUUGUAUUUGGUUAAGUGGACUAAAAUCUGAAUCCUUGAUUAACCCAAACUUCCCACCUAACUUAAGACAAUCCAUGUAAUCACAAUACAAAAUUUAACUACCCAUUAACUAUGUUUUCCACAUAUUCAUGCAUCUGAUUUUGAGUACAAUACAUAUGCAUUGCUAUCACCAUUUACUUUGGGGCAUUUUGUCCCCUUUUAUUAUUUGCUCUUUUUCUUUUCUUUUUUUUCUUUUUUUUUUCUUUUUAUUUUUCGCAAUGCAUAUGAUUAAGGUAUUGAAUUCAACAAUAUGUGCUUAACUAUCUUUUUCACAAAUUCACCAAAAAUAUACAAUACCCAAUUCUCAAACCAAACGUUUCCAAACCUAAUUUCCCCACACUUAAUUCAUGAGCACUCUCACUAGUCUAAGCUAACCAAGAAUUCAAAUUAAGGACAUUAUUAUUUUUCUCUUAGAGUUAAUGAUGUGCUAAAGUAAAGAACAAAUUGGGUUAAAAGGCUCAACAUUGAUUUGCAAAGGAUAAUGAAAGGGUAAGGCCAUAUGAGUAUGUAAGCUCAAUGAAACAGAGGUCUCAAUCAUGUAGGUUGAUAAACCCCAUUUUUAGGGUUUAUCUUGUAUAGGUUUUGAGGGUUUUAUCAAUGAUCUUUCACACUUAUUCAUAUAAAAAUGCAUGGUUUUGUGUUCCCUUCCCAAUUUUGCCUCAUAGAUGAAAGCAUGCUUCUUUUGCACUAAAUUAGAUAUAUCUUAAUCCUCCUCUAUUACCAUUCGAUGCCGUGAUCCGUGUGUUAAUAAAGUUUAUAGGGCAGGGACGGCUUGGAGGAGAGGAUGGGAGCAUGCAUAAAGGGAAGGAGCAUAGAAAAUUGAGCUUUGGAAACUUCAGCAGUGAGGUGAACGCGCACAUGGUGCGUCCGCGCGGAUGCGCGCUACCAAAGCCAAAGCUAGGAGCCAAGCUGGAAGUCGGCGCGUUUAGCGGCUGGGCCUCAAUCCUCAUGGACGCACCCACAUACGCUGCGCCUGUGCGCAUAUUGCAAUUACCCCAGGGACACGUACGCGUACACGCCGAUGGCCACACGUGAUUUUUUAAAGAGAAAAUAUGACCAGCGAUUUCAGGCAGUUACAGGCCCUGUUUUGGGGUAGAGUUUUGGUAGGAAAAGCUUAAGAAGGCUAAGGAUUGAAGGGCUUGGGAGGAUUCACUCAUUCUUACAUUUUGCUAGAUAUUUCUCAUAGUUAGUUACAUUUUAUAGAGAGAGAACCUUCAACUUCUCUCUAGGAUUCCAUUCUCCAUUGCAAGUCUCCUUUGAUUCUCUUGGUGAGAUCCAUUGUAAUUCACUUUUACUUUGAUGCAAUUAGUAGAUCUACUCUUCUCCUAUUCUCAAUUUGUGUUCUUUGGAUCCUUCCACUUUGGAUCUAGAUCUAACAUUGUUACUUUGAUUUGGAUUAGUGAAUUGAGGUAUUUUCAUGUUCA
rnacentral:lncRNA from 1 species